rfam:Trichuris muris Edinburgh genomic scaffold, scaffold45
CCUAAGGCCUUAUUAAAGGCCAUCCAACUACCUUCAAAAUUUUCAU